UACAGAGACUGCAAGCGUUAUUCGGAUUCACUGGGCGUAAAGGGUGCGCAGGCGGCCAAGUGUGUGAGGCGUGAAAGCCCGGGGCUUAACCCCGGAAUUGCACCUCAAACUACAUGGCUAGAGCAUUGGAGAGGGUAGCAGAAUUCAUGGUGUAGCAGUGAAAUGCGUAGAUAUCAUGAGGAAUACCAGAGGCGAAGGCGGCUACCUGGACAAUUGCUGACGCUGAGGCACGAAGGCCAGGGGAGCAAACGGG
rnacentral:rRNA from 1 species